ACGGGUGAGUAACACGUGGGAACGUGCCCUUUGGUUCGGAACAACUCAGGGAAACUUGAGCUAAUACCGGAUGUGCCCUUCGGGGGAAAGAUUUAUCGCCAUUGGAGCGGCCCGCGUAGGAUUAGCUAGUUGGUGGGGUAAAGGCCCACCAAGGCUACGAUCCUUAGCUGGUCUGAGAGGAUGAUCAGCCACAUUGGGACUGAGACACGGCCCAAACUCCUACGGGAGGCAGCAGUGGGGAAUCUUGCGCAAUGGGCGAAAGCCUGACGCAGCCAUGCCGCGUGAAUGAUGAAGGUCUUAGGAUUGUAAAAUUCUUUCACCGGGGACGAUAAUGACGGUACCCGGAGAAGAAGCCCCGGCUAGCUUCGUGCCAGCAGCCGCGGUAAUACGAAGGGGGCUAGCGUUGCUCGGAAUUACUGGGCGUAAAGGGAGCGUAGGCGGAUAGUUUAGUCAGAGGUGAAAGCCCAGGGCUCAACCUUGGAAUUGCCUUUGAUACUGGCUAUCUUGAGUACGGAAGAGGUAUGUGGAACUCCGAGUGUAGAGGUGAAAUUCGUAGA
rnacentral:rRNA from 1 species